GACGGAAUAUCGAAGAUCCUCUCCCGGACGAAAAAAACACCGGACAAGCACAGAGAGAGAAACAAGAGAGACAAGUCAGGACAACGGAAACCGCAGGAGAGAAGUAAUCAGAAUAGAGAGGAGAGAAAGAGGAGAUGGAUGGAGCGGUGGAGAGGAGGACAUGAGCGUCUUAAGGUGACUGAGCCAAGUGACGCACAAAUGAACCCAGGCUGGAGAAAGGGAAGAUGGGAAGUAUUGGUUUCACCUGCAGCCCAGCCCUGUGGCAUAGAUGUGUUUGUAUGAUCCAGCGGUGAAGAUAGAUGUUAUCUAAAGUUAUUUUUCAACUGGACAAAGUAAUG